rnacentral:lncRNA from 1 species
AUCAGUGUCUGACUGAUGCAAUGCAGCCAGAAAGUUGUUCAGCAGGAAAACUGCGCCAUCGCUCGCUCGUCCUCGUUCACACGCUUGGGGAGGAGUUCAUGGUUCCUGGGAGCAGCUGACAGACAACACACCUAGCACAAACACAUGAACAGGGAGAAGAUGAUCUGGAUCCUUCUGCUCGUCGGCCUGACCUCCUCUGUCUGUGGUUAGUAGGACUGAAACUAAUAAUUCAUUUCAUUAACGAUUAAUCUGCUGAUUAUUUCCUCCAUUAAUCCAAUCAAACUGUUUAUGAAUGUAAAGAAAGUUGUGAAAAAUCUCCCAUAAAGACUUCCAGAGGCCAAAGUGACGUCCUUAAACUGCUUGUUUAGUUCAACCAACAGUUAAAAACCAAACAUUAUUUCAUUCACUGUCAUAUAUUACAAAGACAAACAGCAAACCUGCCCAUAUGAGAAGCUGGAAGCAGCAAAUAUUUGGUUUUGUUUCACUAAAAAUGACAAUUAAUGUAAUAUAAUUUCUAUUUCAAUGGAUGAAUCACACACUAGUAGCUCUAGUGGUUAGUUUAUGUGUAAGUCUCAGUACAUCUGACAGAAAUGAGGUGAAGAUCGAUGUCUGACUCUACAUAACGUCUCUAUUGUGCCUCUCUUUGCCCUCUCUCUCGUCGACAGGGAUGUUUGUCUUGAAAAAGACUCCGACCUUCUAUCAGGCAGAGGAGGACGAUAACAUCACCAUCGGAUGGGACAGUCCCAUCAUGUCCCUCACCAUCCUGCGUUGUUUCUUCCAGUCAGAGCCUCUGAAGCUUUUCUAUGAAAUGGUUGACGGUGUGGAGUCCUCAGAGUCUCAGCAUCAGCAGUUUGCAGGACGGGUGCAGUGUGACAAAGACGUCCUCAGAGGAGGACGAGUCAGACUUCAUAUGUCCAGAGUCAGGACUGAUGACUCUGGACGUUACUGGUGUGAUCUGGCUGCUAAUUAUGACAAGAUCAGGAGAAGAUGGGGGCUAGAGACCACUGAACAUUUUGUACUGAAUGUGGCCCAGACCAAUGAUGGAGAGAGCAGUGAUGUGUCUCUCAACUCAUCAAAGUCUCAAGUGGCAGCAACUAAAGGUCAACAUGGUGCAGGACAGCCACCAGGAAGCCCAAAACAUGAAGUCAUAGCUCCACUAUUAAUAGUAGCUUUGGUUUUUGUUGCUGUAAUCUUGGCAACUUGGACAUUUCUGACAGCAUGUGCUUGUGAAGACCGAGGACAACAACGUAUGUCUGCUUUAUUAUUUGUUUUAAUGGAACUUGUUCUGAUUUAUUUGUGCCCAUUGUUCACCUACACUUCCUGUUGUCUCAUGUCAACCAUACAGCUCAAGACCAGGAUGGACGUUACAUCGUGCUCCCGAUUGAGAUAGUCCCCAUCCUGACCCACUCCAGAUGUGAGUGGACAUUUGGCAGCAUUGACACUGAGCUUAUUUUGGGAUCCUAUUUCACUUUUUACAGUCUGGGUUCAAACUGCUAGAAUGAAGCACUAAAAUGAAGGUAAAGUUACAGUUAAUUAUCCUCUUCCCUGUCCAUGGAUGCUUGGAUUCAUCCUCACAGUAACAGCUUUAUAACAAGUGGGUUUCUAGCUACCAGAGACAAAUAUGUAUAUAGUGAGUUUGUCUUCUUUUUGAUGUAAGUGUUUUUCUACGUCUCACUGACCCGACUUGAUACAACUUGCAGAGACUUGAACAAGUCUCACACUGGACUGCUCCCAAAUAGGUUUCAUUAGACUGGAAAGGCAACGUCGUCACAAGCUAACAUGAUGAAUAGCAAUGUAUAUGUGGACACCAAAUGGAUUACAUUGUGCUGAUGCCAUUAUGCAAACAAAUUAUGACUCGCUACAUAGUCAAGAUAAAAUGCAUUACCAGUGCCUAAAAUAAUCACAAAAAACUGUAUCUAUAAUCUGAGGAAACAUCAAAAAAUAUCUAAAAAGCAAUGAUUUCUAUAAUAAUGUGAUCUGGUUGCUUUUAUAUAUUUAUAUAUGGAAAUGUGUCCUUUUUCAUUACUAUGCAACAAUGAUACAGACUCAGUGUGAGUAUUUCAAAAAUACUUGUUUGUGAUGUCCAUAUGUCAGUUUGCUGUGUUGCUGCUGGCUAAAGAGGACAUGGAGAGUUAAAUCCAACAUCUUUGAUGGUUACUCAGUAAAAAAGAACAGAAUAUUAUUUAUAUGUAUUAAAAAACACUCAAAAGUAGGAGGUCCUCUAAUGGAGCUACAGGCUAUGUACAGUAUUCAGAUCAAUGUCUGGAAGAAAUAAUGAUGGAUAUAUAUUGUGAAAUACAAAUUCAUUUGAUCAGGUCUGAUAUCAUUUCAGCGUUACCAUUUAGUUUUAAACUGUUUAUAUAGUUUAUAAGGACAAGAAACCAGAUGUGACAUUAUUAGUGCUAACGAGGGAUGUGGAAGGUUAGGUAGUUACUGGAUCGUUAUAAUGACAGUAGAGAUGUAAGGUAGUUUGGAAGCUUUAGAACAGUAGAGCUUUAUAAAUGAAUAACAUGGGAUGGAUAUUUCUAGUUGACAGUAAGUCCAUCCAACUCUUUGAUACAGAGAACAGUGAUGGGUGCAAGAUUAGUCAUUAGUGAUAAAGAGUAAUGCACUGUGAUACACAGGGUUUAACUGCUGAACUGCUGUUAUUGAUGUACAAAAUAAACAGCAAAGACCCAAGAAGAGACUCCUGUGGCAUCCCAUUUCUUUAAAAAACAUUUUUUGAAUGCAUUAUCAUCUGAGGUGGGACACCUAAACUCCUGUGUGUCUAUUUCCUGUUCUAACUAAAUCCAGUCAGCAGGACUGGAGCCAAGGACACUUUUCAGUGUUUUAGGAUUCUGACCAGAUUAAUGUUGAGGAUAUAAAUCUGUCAUAAAUGAAAGACAAUGUUAUAACAUUAUAUUGAGGAACUAAAUAUGCAUUCAAGUGAUGAAAAUGUGUUUUUGGUAUUUCUGUUCCUUGCCCCACUUUAUGAAAUAUGAUUGAGAAUGUGUGCUGCAUGCUCUGGUCAAUCUGGAAUAGUCAUUCAGGUUCUUGGAGGAAAUAUGCAUUUAAGGACUUUCUGAAGUUGCAUACAUUACACACAUGGUUGUUCAUCAUGUACAAAUAUGACAUGCUUGACCAUGUCUUUACCAACAUGGCCACACACGUCCUCC